AACGAACGCUGGCGGCAUGCCUAACACAUGCAAGUCGAACGAGACCUUCGGGUCUAGUGGCGCACGGGUGCGUAACGCGUGGGAACCUGCCUUUAGGUUCGGAAUAACUCAGAGAAAUUUGAGCUAAUACCGGAUGAUGUCUUCGGACCAAAGAUUUAUCGCCUUUAGAUGGGCCCGCGUUGGACUAGCUAGUUGGUGGGGUAAAGGCCUACCAAGGCGACGAUCCAUAGCUGGUCUGAGAGGAUGAUCAGCCACACUGGGACUGAGACACGGCCCAGACUCCUACGGGAGGCAGCAGUGGGGAAUAUUGGACAAUGGGCGAAAGCCUGAUCCAGCAAUGCCGCGUGAGUGAUGAAGGCCUUAGGGUUGUAAAGCUCUUUUACCCGAGAUGAUAAUGACAGUAUCGGGAGAAUAAGCUCCGGCUAACUCCGUG
rnacentral:rRNA from 1 species